GACGAACGAUGGCGGCGUGCCUAAUACAUGAAAGUCGAACGCAGUGGGGACGGGUGAGUAAAACGUGGGUAACCUCCCAUCAGAGGGGAUAACACUUGGAAACAGGUGCUAAACCGAUACUGAUGGAUGGACCCGCGGUGCAUUAGCUAGUUGGUGAGGGAACGGCUCACCAAGGCCACGAUGAAUAGCCGACCGGUGCGGGGGACUGGCCAACCCUGGACUGAGACACGGCCCAGACUCCUAAGGGCGGCAGCAGUAGGGAAUCUUCGGGAAUGGACGAAAGUCUGGCCGAGCAACGCCGCGGUAGUGAAGAAGGUUUUCGGAUCGUAAAACUCUGUUGUUAGAGAAGCGGUAUCUAACCAGAAAGCCACGGCUAACUACGUGCCAGCCGCCGCGGUAAUAC
rnacentral:rRNA from 1 species